UACAGAGGUCCCAAGCGUUGUUCGGAUUCAUUGGGCGUAAAGGGUGCGUAGGCGGCGCGGUAAGUCGGGUGUGAAAUCUCGGAGCUUAACUCCGAAACUGCAUUCGAUACUGCCGUGCUUGAGGACUGGAGAGGAGACUGGAAUUUACGGUGUAGCGGUGAAAUGCGUAGAUAUUAGGAAGAACACCGGUGGCGAAGGCGGCCCACUGGUCCGGUACUGACGCUGAGGUGCGAAAGCGUGGGGAGCAAACAGG
rnacentral:rRNA from 1 species